GAUGAACGCUGACAGAAUGCUUAACACAUGCAAGUCAACUGUGGCGGACGGGUGAGUAACGCGUAAAGAACUUGCCUCUCAGCUAGGGACAACAUGUGGAAACGAGUGCACAUAUCUGAACCGGUGAGAGAGCUUUGCGUCCCAUUAGCUAGUGGGAGAGGAAACGGCUCACGAAGGCGAUGAUGGGUAGCCGGACUGAGAGGGUGAUCGGCCACAAGGGGACUGAGACACGGCCCUUACGCCUUCGGGAGGCAGCAGUGGGGAAUAGUUGACGAUAGACCAAAGUCUGAUCAAGCACUUCGGUGUGCACGAUGAUGUUGUGGGAAGGUAAAGUGCUUUCAGUUGGGAAGCGGUACCAACAGAAGAAGUGACGGCUAAAUCCGUGCCAGCAGCCGCGGUAAUAC
rnacentral:rRNA from 1 species